AAAUAAACACACAUCCCACUUUAGUUAGAAUAUAAAAUAAUACUGGCUUUGUAUUUACAUGCAUUUGUUAUAAUACAAACUAAACAACAGGAGCAUAGAGUGACGCUGUUGCGCGAACAUCUAGAAUAGCUAAAGGGUUAGUUAACUAGCUAGCUAGCCAGCAGAUCCGACACCUUAUACUUGCUUAUAGUUGCACUACAGGGUUUGACAGGCCGUUUGCAUGAAGGUGCGCUAUGCUUAAAUCACUCCGCCAUUUCUGGUUGCUAAAAUGUCGAACAGUUCGCCAAAUUCCAAUGUAUGGGACAUAAAAAGCAAGUAUAGUGUAGAUAAUCAUUGUACCAUCUACACUGCUGGGAAAUAUAUUUUCAAUAAACAAAAAAUAUUGUAUUUUCAGCUGUUUAACGCUGGUGUACAAUACCGAAAGUAAAAGAUGCAAAAACGAAACUUAAGAACAGGAAGCACAGAAAUAGUGCACAGAGAACAGCUCUACUGCUUAUUAGACUUGCUUUCAAUGAGAAUGAUAGAUCUAUAACUCACAUUACUAUGUGUAUUUGGUUGGCUCGCCCAAAAAGUUACAUAUUGCAACUUUAAAUUAAGACACAGUGGAUAUGGCUCGGAAAACAUAUCUAAUUCCAAGGAUAAGUUGUACUUCGAAUACUCCAAAAUGUUACACAGAAAAGAUUGAAAAACUGCCCUUUUUAUAAAAAACUACUGAUUUCAACACCCAAAGACUAAUUGUGGGCUAGUCUUUGGGUGCUGAAACUAGUUUCACUAGGUACGCAGGUUCAUUUGUGGAGUUUUAUUGGCCACAUGUUAACUAGCAGUAGCCACAGCAGCCAUUAUGGAAUGGCACAUUGCGCUGAACAACAAAGGAGCUGAUUGGCUGACACUGCCAUUCCAAAAUGGCUGAUGUGGCAACUGCUAUUUAGCAUGAGGACAAAAAGUGCAGUUUUCUGGAAAAACUAGCAGUCGUUCAAUCUUGUCGGUGUAACAGUUGGGAUAAUGGGACAAUUGAUUCAAAGCUUCAAAUCAAGUUCUUUUUCAUCCUUGAAUUGAGGUCAGAAUUGAGGUCAGCCAAAAAAACUAUGUCGAUUCAAACAGUUUUUGACCAGUGGGUAGUAAGUAGCCUAUUUACUAAAAUGCGUGCGAUUGCAACUUCUCUGCUGUGGCAACUUCAGAUGGUUUCCAGGUGUGGCAAGCUGUUUGGAUAACAACGAGUUUAGCUAGCUGUCUUGUAAUCAUUGUAAUGUCACAUAGUUAAUAGUUAUACUCUAUUGUCAAAGGGAUUCAUCAAGACCAACUCAAAUGGUGUCCCUGUUGUGUACCUUGCAAGACCAUCGCAACGAUGUCAACUGGUGCGCGUUCUCCCCCACACUGCUGGCCACCUGUUCAGCUGACAAAACCUUACGAAUUUACAACACCCAAGACUUUUCCCGAAGUCCCAUAAUCCCCACUCUCUGGCCACGGCUAUGGCGUCCACUGUUGUUGCUUCAGCGCCUGUGGUCAGCAUUUAGCCUCGUGUUCAACUGUUGUGUGGUCAACGGACACAGGUGAGAUAGAGGCAGUGCUGGAGCAUCCGGGUAGGAACCCCGUCAGGGUUUGCGCCUUCUCGCCCGACUCUUCACACCUGGUUUUGGAGGCGUCUGAUGGUACUUUAGGGCUUUGGGAUUUCCCUACGAAAACUUUCCACGGGUGAACUUGAUUGAUAUCGUUUAUCUCCAUGCUAUCGAAGCAUAAAUAGGCCUGUGUGUGUUGCCUAUAUCAACUGAGGCUUUGUUGGCCUCUGCAGACUGAUGUUAUGCGUUGUCUCUUACAUAGUGUUCUUAAAUGAUUAUUUGUCAACAGUGAAUGACACCACUAUGGUGGCCUGCUCCUUCACCCCCUGUGGCCAGAUGUUUGUCACUGGAUCUACGUAUGGGGACCUCAGGCUGUGGGACCUGGACAUGAACCAGCUCCACGCGGAGAAGAACACUCACGAAUUGGGGGUUGGCUGCUACUGCUUUGGCCCCAAGAUCCUCAGUGGCUGUAAGAUGCAGCUGCCGCACACCCUGACCGGCCGGUCUGCCCCGGUGCUCUCCUGUGAUUUCUCUGCAGACGGACAGCUGCUUGUGUCUGGCUCAGUGGACUAAACAGUCACAGGUGUAUGAUGCUAGCCAGGGGGCUUUGCUCUGCACAUUGAACCAACAUGAGAGGUACAUGACGGCGUGUGCCUUCUCUCCCAGCACACCCCUGAUCGCCACGGUUUCUAUGGACAAGACUGUCAAUAUAUGUCUGCCAAUCACCAUCCCUCUCUCUGCAUGGUUCAUGGGAAGGAAAACAAAAAGAAGGGUAAUCUUUACCUGGCAGAAAGUUUCCGGGUCACUCCAGACUUCUGGUCAGUGAUUGGUCAGAGGAGGGCGUGGCUGUGUGAGGAAGGGCUGGAGACGCUGGCGGGAAAACUUCAAGGCAAACAUCAUAGAUGGAGCGGAGCUCGUCAGUCUGACCAAGGAGACACUGGCCUCAGAACUCAACAUAGGUGGGGACGGCACAUCACACCAUCGACUAGACACAUUAUCAUAAUAACAUGCAUUAUCAUAUUAUACACAUUACCCACUUGUCAGUCUGGUGUCUGAGAUCAACAUUUUGUACAGUAGCUGGAAACAGAGCGUCAUCACAUACUCAGGCUGGAAUAUUUUUUAAGUAGGGGGAGGGACGAAUGAAAAACAAGGUGGACAUUGAGGAAUGAAUGUUAAUGAGAUUUACUCAGGAUUACAUACAUUUGAACUGUACAGCAUUCGAUUAGGCCAUGUGUAUUCUGCACCGCGGGUGUAAUCUGCUUUAAGAUUUCUGCCCCAUUACAUAACACAAUUACUCAUCCCAAAAUACAUAUCAUGUAACAUAGAAAAUGGUAUCCACCUAAUACCAUUUCUGUCUGAAACAAUUCCAAAAUCCAUCUGAAAAUGUCACUUACAGAUUUUGGUUGAUCCGUAUAUCUUCUCUUUUAAAUACAGAUCUUUCACCCUGGUGAGGAAAGCCAGUUUUCCCAACUUUUUCUCUGUGGUAGGUGUGGGUCUGUUGUUGGUCUCUCACGCCAAUGGCAACCAUGGUAACCAAACAGCCGUGUUCUCUAAAAGAGAUGAAUCUCUUAGUAGACAUGGGUGUCUCUCUCUACUGUCUCUGAGUGAGGGAUGGCGCCAUGCCAGGCUGUUAUCUUCCUGAUGGAGAGAGAUUAUCCUUUUUCCUCUCAGGGAUGGAGGGCUCUUUUUGGUUUUUUUUGUGUGUCUAACACACACACACACACACACACACACACACACACACACACACACAACUGACCUCACUUUACUGUAGUCUCCAUGGUGACCAGGAACUGGGUCAUGUACGCAGUGUGUUCAAGCCAGGAUAUCACGUCCACAAAUGAUGCAAGCUCCUUUGGCCAAUGUACCAUUUUCCCAUAUCUCUGCCUGGUUGUUUCCUGUUGGUGUACUGUGGAGUCUGUGGGGCUGCACAGUAUGGUCCUGAGGAAGGUGGGGGAGCUGAAGGCAGGGUGUGUGUGUGUACCGGUGUUCCUGAUGAGUUCUUCUGUCCAAUCACCAGAGAGCUGAUGAAGGACCCUGUUAUUGCUGCAGAUGGGUACUGCUAUGAGACCGAACCCUGAAGAUGGCUAUUGGACGCUGGAGGACCAGCCAGUGAGAAAGAGGGUUGCAAGGGCGUCUCUACAUCCCUUUCAAUCCGAAGAUGGCCUAUCCCUCAGUUAACUUCUGACCAAAAGUAGGCUCAUAGUACAUAAAGCUAUAAAUGAUGUUUUCAGGUUGACCAUACUGAGCUUCGAUUCAAUCCCUUACUGUGUCUGCACUUACACAUAUCUGUUGGGAUGAAACUACUUUAUAAUGUAAAUAUUUAUAGCUGAUGAGACAUUCUAAUAUAUAUAUUCUCAAACUCAUGCAUGUUGACCAUGUUUAACUCUGCUAUUUACUCUGCUGCUUUAGCUCCAAAACCAUUUCACUGAUGAUAGUGCAGUGCUUUCGGAAAGUAUUCAGACACCUUGACUUUUUCCACAUUUUGUUACGUUACAGCCUUAUUCUAAAAUGGAUUGAAUGUUGUUUUUUUCCCUCCUCAAUCUACACACAAUACCCCAUAAUGACAAAGCAAAAACAGGUUAGACAUUUUUGCAAA